rnacentral:rRNA from 1 species
GACGAACGCUGGCGGCGUGCCUAAUACAUGCAAGUAGAACGCUGAAGAGAGGAGCUUGCUCUUCUUGGAUGAGUUGCGAACGGGUGAGUAACGCGUAGGUAACCUGCCUUGUAGCGGGGGAUAACUAUUGGAAACGAUAGCUAAUACCGCAUAACAAUGGAUGACACAUGUCAUUUAUUUGAAAGGGGCAAUUGUUCCACUACAAGAUGGACCUGCGUUGUAUUAGCUAGUAGGUGAGGUAAUGGCUCACCUAGGCGACGAUACAUAGCCGACCUGAGAGGGUGAUCGGCCACACUGGGACUGAGACGCGGCCCAGACUCCUACGGGAGGCAGCAGUAGGGAAUCUUCGGCAAUGGGGGCAACCCUGACCGAGCAACGCCGCGUGAGUGAAGAAGGUUUUCGGAUCGUAAAGCUCUGUUGUAAGUCAAGAACGGGUGUGAGAGUGGAAAGUUCACACUGUGACGGUAGCUUACCAGAAAGGGACGGCUAACUACGUG